UGGGCCCGCGGGCCCGGCAGCUCUGGGCGGCCGGGACGCGGAGGAGCAGCGAGGAGCCGGGAGCAGAGAUGGGCCCCGACACCCCUGGGCACCCGUUGAGUGGAUUUCCGCGCGGGACGGAUGUUGGCGUACCCGGUGACCUGCGGAGACCCGGCUGGAUCCAGCCUCCAGCCUGAUCUGCUGACCAGAAAGAGAUAAAAAAAAAAGGUGCCCCAUCGUGAUGGCUGUGCCCGUCAGUUGUGUGGAGCUUCUGUCAAGGAUUUUCAGAGCCUGAUGGAUUUACAGUGACACUCAACCACCUGGGAAUGAUGUGGUAGAAGCAUGUACUGGAAUUACACACACUCGGCAUACUUGGGGAUGCUACAGUGGUUUUAAAGGAAGCCCCAGCCGGGUACCUUGUGGAUUCUUACAGCCCAGAUGUCCAUGGGGGACGAGAACCCCUGUGCUUGCAAGAGUGAAGAUGUCCUUGGAUGGGAACAUGUGGUAGGGUCUCUGCUGGCUCCCUUUGGGACUCCUUAUGAUAUGUAAGUCUCCUUGUGAAGCAUCUCACCCAUGCUCUGCUCAGUGCUCACCUGGGCAUCAGGUGCGACUGUCCUGUGGCUAAUUGUUAAAAGCAGCUAGCAUUUUAUAACCUUGCUCAGUGUGUUCUGGCAAAGUGCCUUGGGGGAGACAGAUGGAAAUUAAGAGGUCCUCCCUGGGAGCCGCCGCAGUUUCCUGUGCUGACGCGUGUCAUCCUACCUGUUACCCUUGCCUGGUCUUCCUGGUUUUGCAUCUGUCUCCAUCUAUUUGCUUGAUCCUGUUAUACCUAGGAUUUAAGUGUUUUUAAUAUGGAAAAAAAACGCAUACCCACACAGUACUCCAGAUGGACUUGAGAAUUGUCCUUCUCUGAACUAAAGCUGGAAUGGUUGGGAAUUUGGAGAAUUAAGUGGCAAAGUCAAGUUGCUGGACGUCGCCUGCAGCCAAAGGAGGUACUGCCGCAGUGACCUGUGCUUAACUGAAGUUGGAGAGAACGAUGCAAAGAACUUGGCAGUUCUUCGUCAGUCUUCAAACUUAGGAAGACCUGCCUCUUGGGGAGGUGGGGCAUGAGCCCUACACACAGCUAGUUGAGGAGAAAGAGAUCCUGGGACCCACCAUGUUUUCCUGACUAUUGCCACCUUGUUCCUGUCACCUGUUGACUGAAGCUCUGUUAAUCCUUUUUUGAACAGGCCAGUUCUCCUUGUCCUCAAGACUCAGUUCUCCUUCGCUGCGGGGUGGUCAGUAGACUCUUGCUCUGUGCUUUGGGCACUUUCUGUUUAACUGGACAAACUCUGCAGAUCUUGUGUGAUUCAUGGGUGUGCCUGGGAAUGUAGGGUCUGGGUUUGCCAGGGACAUGUGUCACAGAGUGGGGGAAAUGCCCUGUGAGGGCUAAUUCAUUGUGUCAACUUGACUAGUUUAUGGUACCAAUGGUACGGUACCUAGGUUUGGGUCAAACAUCAGCCUAGAUGUCAUGUCUCUGAAGGCCUUGUUUUUAGGUGAGAUAAGCAUUUAUAUUAGUAGACUUUGAAUAAAGUCCAUCCUCCUCCACAGUGUAGUUGGGCUUCAUCCAAUCAGUGGAAGGCCUUAAGAGAAAACAGGCUGAGAUUCCUUGAGGAAGUUUGAAUUCUGCCUCCGGACUGUUUUUGGACUACAGCAAAAACAUCAGUGCUUCUAGAGGUCUCCAGCCUGCCAGCUGGCCUUGCAGAGUUCAGACCUGCCAAACCCCAUAAGCAUGUGAGAGCCAGUUCUUUCAAAUCCUCCAUACCCAAUUUUCCCUUUCUGCUUCUCCCACCUCCUCUCCCCCUCUAUUAUCUCUCUCUAUCCAUACAAAUACACACACACACACACACACACACACAUAUACACACACACACCAUUGGUUCUCUUGUCUAAGGUAAUUUAUAUGUCAUUAAAUGAAAUAAUAUUAAUACCUACUAUAUGGUAACAAUAAAGACUAAACAGGACAAUGAAUGGAAUGCUGUUAGUAUAAUGUAAUGAUGCCUGGUACAGUGUUCAACAAAUAGUAACGGUUAUUAUGAAAUUUGUACUUGUCUGCAAGCCAUGGAGGGACAGGAAUUAACUUUCUUUUUGCUGCACAGUAAACCACUCCCAAAAUGUAGUGGCUUAAAAUAACAAUUUAUUUUUCUCCUAGUUCUGCAGGUUGGUUGAGCUCUGCUGGAUGGUUCUUCUGCACCAUAUGAAGUCAUUUGGAGUCAGUGUGUGGUCACACUCAGUGGGGAGUCUGGUGCUUCAGCUGGGGUGACUGGAGUGGCUGGCAGCCUCUCUCUCUUCCUCAGUAGGAGUAGUCUAGCCCAACUUUCUUUACAGUAUUGUAUUUGAUUCCAAGUGAGUAAGUGAAAGCCGCAAGGCUUCCUAAGGCUAGCAGCAGAACUAACACUGCCUUUCCACCAUCUUCUACUGGUCAAAGUGGUCACAGACCAGCCCACAUUCAAGGCAAUGUGGACUCCAGUGCUUAAUGGGAAAAACACCAAGCAUGUGUAGAAAUGUAAACGUUUCUGAGCAUAGUCUACUCCAGGGAACAAGUUGUUGUUCAAGUUCAUGCCUUUCAGUAUCUACUCUGCUUAACCUCUCCAGUUAGUUUG